CAAACGGAAGCUUUCACUGAUAAAGGCCUAUAUUAUGCAUUCCCCUCGCAUACUGUUGGUCCCAGCGCCCAUGACUAAUUUAUACUCGGUUCAAUUCACCAUAUUCUCGAAGAAGCUUGUUUAAUUUAUAAAUUACUCUGCAAUAUCGUGACCCGGUAAAAAGAGAGUUGUCACCACUCAUAGUGCAUGUUGAGAUGAAGAAAACUAAAAGAACAAAAGGGUCAGACGGAGGAAGAGACUGCCGAUCUUGGAUUUGACAAGUUCGCCAUCUACAGACCAGGAAUGCUAAUGUGCGAUCGAGAAGAAUACCGCUUUGGAGAAAGUAUCGCACGAUUCGUUGGCGCACCAUUCGAGUACUUUUCCCCAGGAAAAAUCACCAACACAACUCUCUCGGUCGGUCAAGCGAUGAUCGCAAGAACCGUCAAGCCAGCUGAUACGGCUAAGGUUAUUGUUGAAGGGAAGGAAAUCUACCGGGCUUCGAAAGAAGUCACUGGCUAAGAAUUUACAUUUUAUUCAAUACCGAAGUGAUGAUGUCACAAAAACAUUGCUGCGUUCCAUCAGUUGUGAUACCAUAUCUCGGUGGAGGAUGACAGAUAUCCACAAACCAAUUCAGUGGAAAUCGGUCCAUUUAGGCGCAAGACCUGGCUGUAACCUGGGGCCCGCCUUACAAAGAGUUACGUUUGAUCUCAUCGACCUCUGUUAUAUGGAAAUCCAUCAAUGUCAUGAUUUUCUACAUAAAAUUUUCAAAAUGUCCUUUGUAAAAUAAAGAGAAGCCCAUUGAAUUUAAAAAAAAAACGUGAAAGUAUAAAUAUACAUCAUAUUUAGACAAUUUUGAACAAAUAUGCAUUUUAGAUGUUGACGUUGCUGGCUUUCCAUAGUUGUGGUUGAUCCGAUUCGCAAUUCUUUCUAAGACGGGAACCAGGCUCCAGGGAUGUGGUCAAGGCCAGUACUUCCAAAUCACAAGGUCUCUGGAGACUUUGUACACAUACAUGUAACUCAGCCUGAGGCCAAGACCAAGGCCGGCAAAAUGUGGCCUUGAGGCCGGCCUUGAGUACCGGACCAUUCUGAUAAAUAGCUACUUUACUAGCCCUAUUGCAAUUGAGUACAGUACACUGAUUUAAUUUAUGGCGUGUUGCAAGAAAUUUGCGAUCAAUUGCAAGUCUAUUUUCGGUCCCUAAAUCAAUCAUAUCUCGUGCAAUUAAUUGUAACUUUCUCUUCAAGGGGGAGUGAACUGUGUGUUGUCUCUCAUUGACUGUGUGUUAUAAAUACAUAGUCUUAAAAUAUACGUUUUCAGAUAUCUACUAAUACUACAGAGAAUAAAUUGACCUAUAAUUGUAUUUGUAUAGGGAAGCUAUAAUGUUUUGAGAGGAAAAGUAAUUGUUUUGCUACUUGGUAACAUAAUUAUUGUGGUAUAAAUGUAUUGAGUAGUUCAUUAUCAUGUUAUCAUUCAAGUGGGUCUAUAUUACUAGACUACACUAGCAGUAUGGGUCAGGAACCUGGCCAGGUAUGAGUAGUUGAGGACUCGAGAUGGCACUAUUGGUUCGUGCCUGUUUUAAUUUCUGGUUUCAUGAUCGAUAUUCUGCUUCUUGAAAAAAGGAGUGUAAUCUGAUUUGCUACAUUUAAAAUUGAUCUAUCAAUUGUAUAAUUGCAACAGAAUAUUUGCAAUUGAUUGCAAAUAUUUUCUGCCCCCCCCCCCUUAGGCUAAUAGGAAACAUGGGCCUUAGAGCAGAAGAUUAUCCUUUGUUCAUGGAGGUGACAUCUAUUGUUGCAUCCCCCCCCCCCAAAAAAAAAAGGGAAUCCUCUGUGCUAAAGCCCAUGAUAGGUAAUCAUUUGGCCAUACCUGAGGCCAACAUGGACCAAUUCACAUCAAAUUUGGUGUCUGGAGAGAUGUUACUUCAUGUUGUACAAAACAGUAAAGAUUAAGCUAAAAUCUUACCUCCAUAACUCGUUUUAUCAACGAUUUUCUGUUACUUGUUAUUUUGUUUGCCCCCCCCCCCCCUUUCACUUGUGCGGCUUGAGCAUCUCUUACAAAAUGGAUAUCGCGCCUAACAAAUUGCAUAUAUUAUUAUCAUUAUUGUACCAGCAUACGGUCAUGGACGUGCUGAAAUGUGCAAAAGCAAAUUUAUGACAUCAUGCUUUGGUACUCUCUUGAGGAAACAUUGAUCAUCAUCAUUCCAAUAUUUAUAGGGUGGUAUACUGGUGGCCAUGGUUUAAUUACAUGGGGGUUAACCAUAACACGACUGUUAUGGAGUGCCAUUUGUCUGACCUAUAUGAAUGCAAUUAGGACUGUAUUUUGCAGUCUGGCCUAAAUGAUUGCAAUUACUUGUAUGAUUGUAUUUAUCAGUCUGACGUACCUAGUAGAGGAUAGCAAUUAUGAUUGUAUUUAGCAGUCUGAUGUACCUAUGUGAUGGCAAUUAUGAUUGUAUUUAGCAGUCUGAUGUACCUAUAUGAUGGCAAUUAUGAUUGUAUUUAGCAGUCUGACGUACCUAGUAGAGGAUAGCAAUUAUGAUUGUAUUUAGCAGUCUGAUGUACCUAGAGGAUAGCCAAUUAUGAUUGUAUUUAGCAGUCUGAUGUACCUCGAGGAUAGCCAAUUAUGAUUGUAUUUAGCAGUCUGAUGUACCUAGAGGAUAGCAAUUAUGAUUGUAUUUAGAAGUCAUGUACCUGGAUGAUAGCAAUUAUGAUUGUAUUUAGCAGUCUGACGUACCUAGAGGAUAGCCAAUUAUGAUUGUAUUUAGCAGUCUGAUGUACCUCGAGGAUAGCCAAUUAUGAUUGUAUUUAGCAGUCUGAUGUACCUAGAGGAUAGCAAUUAUGAUUGUAUUUAUCAGUCUAACGUACCUAGUAGAUGAUAGCAAUUAUGAUUGUAUUUAGCAGUCUGAUGUGCCUAUAUGAUGGCAAUUAUGAUUGUAUUUAGCAGUCUGACGUACCUAGAGGAUAGCCAAUUAUGAUUGUAUUUAGCAGUCUGAUGUACCUAGAGGAUAGCCAAUUAUGAUUGUAUUUAGCAGUCUGACGUACCUAGAGGAUAGCCAGUUAUGAUUGUAUUUAGCAGUCUGACGUACCUAGAGGAUAGCCAAUUAUGAUUGUAUUUAGCAGUCUGAUGUACCUCGAGGAUAGCAAUUAUGAUUGUAUUUAGCAGUCUGACGUACCUAGAGGAUAGCAAUUAUGAUUGUAUUUAGCAGUCUGAUGUACCUAGAGGAUAGCCAAUUAUGAUUGUAUUUAGCAGUCUGACCUAAAGGAAUGCAAUUAUUGUAUUUAGCAUUCUGACCCAAAUGAUUGCAAUUUUGAUUGUAUUUAGCACUCUGACCUAAAUGAUUCCAAUUAUGAUUGUAUUUAGCAGUCUGACCUAAAAGAAUGCAGUUAUGAUUGUAUUUAGCAGUAUGAUUGCACUUAGCAGUGUUUUCCUAAAUGAAUUCAAUUAUGAAUGUAUUUACAUGUAGCAGUCGACCUAAAGGAAUUCAAUUAUUGUGUUAAGCUUUCUGACGUAAAUGAUUGCAAUUUUGAUUGUAUUUAGCAGUCUCAUCUAAAUAUUGUAGUUAUGUUUGUAUUUAGUAGUUUUGAUGGUAUUGUAAUUGUGAUGUGUGUUGCUGUACUGUAGUGGUUUAACCCUAAAAAGACUGGGGGGGGCUGAUUCAGCCCCCCCUCGACAUUUUUCGCGAUAAAUCUGUAACGCGAAAAGCUGGCGGUGCGCCGUUCCAUGACUUUUUUUUUCUAAGUCUUGCGCAACUUUUGAGACCAAAUUUGCGACGCCCGGGUACGUGGUUCCGAAAUUACGCAACAUUUUGUAAGUGCAUAUCGACCCGAAAUUGCUCAAAAACGUGAAUUUGUGUACAAAUCCAAUGCAAAUUGUGUUUUUAGCCAAACUUCAUAAAUGUAUCAUUAUUUUCAAUUUUACUAAUCAAACUUAAUUAAUUUCAUCUUGUUUAUGGUCAGAAUAAAGUAGCGGACGA